rnacentral:rRNA from 1 species
GCAUAACGCGAAGAACCUUACCUACUCUUGACAUCUAGCGAAGAUUGCAGAGAUGCAGUUGUGCCUUCGGGAACGCUAAGACAGGUGCUGCAUGGCUGUCGUCAGCUCGUGUUGUGAAAUGUUGGGUUAAGUCCCGCAACGAGCGCAACCCUUAUCCUUAGUUGCCAGCACGUAAUGGUGGGAACUCUAGGGAGACUGCCGGUGAUAAACCGGAGGAAGGUGGGGACGACGUCAAGUCAUCAUGGCCCUUACGAGUAGGGCUACACACGUGCUACAAUGGUACGUACAGAGGGAGGCAAGCUGGCGACAGUGAGCGGAUCUCUUAAAGCGUAUCGUAGUCCGGAUCGCAGUCUGCAACUCGACUGCGUGAAGUCGGAAUCGCUAGUAAUCGCAAAUCAGAAUGUUGCGGUGAAUACGUUCCCGGGUCUUGUACACACCG